rnacentral:rRNA from 1 species
UAAGGAAUAUUGGUCAAUGGACGCAAGUCUGAACCAGCCAUGCCGCGUGAAGGAUGAAGGUCCUCUGGAUUGUAAACUUCUUUUAUCUGGGACGAAAACGGGAUUUUUAUCUCAAUUGACGGUACCAGAGGAAUAAGCACCGGCUAACUCCGUGCCAGCAGCCGCGGUAAUACGGAGGGUGCGAGCGUUAUCCGGAUUUACUGGGUUUAAAGGGUGCGUAGGUGGGCUUAUAAGUCAGUGGUGAAAUCUCCGAGCUUAACUUGGAAACUGCCGUUGAUACUAUAGGUCUUGAAUUAUCUGGAGGUAAGCGGAAUAUGUCAUGUAGCGGUGAAAUGCUUAGAUAUGACAUAGAACACCAAUUGCGAAGGCAGCUUACUACAUAUAAAUUGACGCUGAGGCACGAAGCGUGGGGAUCAAACA